AGUGAGCGCUGGCGGUAGGCCUAACACAUGCCAGUCGAACGGCAGCACAGUAAGAGCUUGCUCUUACGGGUGGCGAGUGGCGGACGGGUGAGGAAUACAUCGGAAUCUACUUUUUCGUGGGGGAUAACGUAGGGAAACUUACGCUAAUACCGCAUACGACCUACGGGUGAAAGCAGGGGAUCUUCGGACCUUGCGCGAUUGAAUGAGCCGAUGUCGGAUUAGCUAGUUGGCGGGGUAAAGGCCCACCAAGGCGACGAUCCGUAGCUGGUCUGAGAGGAUGAUCAGCCACACUGGAACUGAGACACGGUCCAGACUCCUACGGGAGGCAGCAGUGGGGAAUAUUGGGCAAUGGGCGCAAGCCUGAUCCAGCCAUACCGCGUGGGUGAAGAAGGCCUUCGGGUUGUAAAGCCCUUUUGUUGGGAAAGAAAAGCAGCAGGUUAAUACCCCGCUGUUCUGACGGUACCCAAAGAAUAAGCACCGGCUAACUUCGUG
rnacentral:rRNA from 1 species